rnacentral:misc_RNA from 1 species
UGGAGGUUGAUCGUGUAGCACAGGACUAUAAAGUGCACCGAGAUGAGAUACACUCGAAGUUGGUGCAAAUAAUGAGGGAAAGGUUGCUGGUCCACCUCCGUGGGCUUCCACAGAUUGUUGAGAGUUGGAAUAGGCCAGAAAAUACUGAUACGCAGCCAAGUCAGUUUGCUCGUUCUAUCACUAAGGAAGUUGGCCUUCUUCAACGUGUCUUAUCUAGAACCCUGCAUGAGUUAGAUGUUCAAGCUAUUUUCAGGCAAGUGGCUAUUAUCUUCCAUUCUCAAAUUUCAGAAGCGUUUUCGCACUUGGAUAUCAGCAGUGAACAUGCUAAAAAAAGAAUGUAUUGCGAUGUGCAGCAUAUUCUUGCAUGUAUCAGAUCAUUGCCUUCAGAUAGCAAAUCUAAUCCUCCUAAUUGGGGACAGCUUGAUGAAUUUGUG